rnacentral:rRNA from 1 species
GACAAGAAAUAACAAUACAGAGCCUUACGGUUUUGUAAUUGGAAUGAGUUAAGUAUAAACCCCUUAACAAGUAUCAAUUGGAGGGCAAGUCUGGUGCCAGCAGCCGCGGUAAUUCCAGCUCCAAUAGCGUAUAUUAAAGUUGUUGCAGUUAAAAAGCUCGUAGUUAAUUUUCUGUUAAUUUUUAUAUACAAUACUACGGUAUUUAUAUAAUAUUAACAUAAUUCAUAUUACUUUUUAGUAUAUGAAACUUUACUUUGAGAAAAUUAGAGUGCUUAAAGCAGGCUAUUGCCUUGAAUACUCCAGCAUGGAAUAAUAUUAAGGAUUUUUAUUCUUCUUAUUGGUUCUAGAAUAAAAAUAAUGAUUAAUAGGGACAGUUGGGGGCAUUUGUAUUUAACAGUCAGAGGUGAAAUUCUUAGAUUUGUUAAAGACAAACUACUGCGAAAGCAUUUGCCAAGGAUGUUUUCAUUAAUCAAGAACGAAAGUUAGGGGAUCGAAGACGAUCAGAUACCGUCGUAGU